AGCUCUUCCCACACAAUUGCAAAAUUUUGCACUAGUUUCUUAAAAAAAAAAUGAAAUAAUGUUUAGGAAGGAUAAUCGGCUCGGGCAAUACCAAGAUAUCCAAGUUAUUGUAUGAUUAAAUUUAUAAUAUUAUACAUGAAUGUCAUGAUCAAAUAAUAGUGGGAAAUUAUCAUUGGUACACCCCAGGUUCUGACUUUUCUUGUUGGUACCAUUACUUUUUUUUUUUUCUUUUUUUUUUAUUAUCAGCGGUACACCCAAGGUUUUAGGCUUCUUAACUGGCGUGGUUAGUCUGUUAACCAAAGGUUAAUAACGUUCUAAUCUUAUGGGUUUAGGUUAUUAAUAAAACAUGGAAAAAAUUACAAUGUCCUUUUUUUAAACCACUAUUUUCCUUAGCUUGCCAUAAUUAACCCCCACCCCUUCCAUGUAUGAUGAUUAGACUUCCCUCUUCUGCAUCCAUUCAUCUCUUUCUUGCGUUUGAAUUGAAGAAGAAGAAAGCUAGGGUUUUUUCUGAAAAUUAAAUUCCACAAUUGCGAGUGCAAAAAAGGGCAAUCGUGUGAAUCAAAAGGCACUUAAGCAAGGGAAAAGAUUUAUCAGGAACAGAAAAAAGAGGAAGGGGAGGAACAACCAGGAAAGAGAUCUAAGACAGUCAAAUGUUCAAAAUGUGGGUGCAUUAGACACAACUCCAUAACUGGAAAAGAGUUAAAGGCAUAUGAGCCUGUUGUGAUCCUUCGACCAUCUUUUUUCUUAUCGCGUCGUGACAAAACUAUCGCGUCGCGAUAAAGAGAGUUUUACUCCAAUUCGAAUUCUGACUCUUUUCUGAUCCUUCGACCCUAUUUUUUUUAUAAAUAGAGGUCGUUUCACCCCGUUUUCAAUCAUCAAAAAGCUUGAUUACCAACCAUCAUCAUCUAAUCCCCUCUCUAAUACUUUCUAUCUCUCUCUCUCUCUCUAUUGAUUCUUUUCUUAGCUUAGCCUAAACACAUCCCAACACCUCCCAAACACAUCCUUGAUAUUUUUCCUAACCAAACACAAUACAUCCUUCACGAGCUUUGAAUACUCCUAGCCAAUCUUGAAGUUGCCUUCGAUCUCGAUGUGAAAGAAAGAAGUACGAGGCAUCAAAGGAUUUUUAUCAGUAGCAGAGGUGCAUACCAAAGGUAUAGUAGGUUUCCUAUCAGAUAUAUGUCAGGCACUAUGCUAUGCUUUCUUGGUGGUUCAACACUCAUGGUUGCUUAUCUACAUGAGAAUCUCCAUGAUAUUGGGGCUUAUUUGGUACAGUUGUGCAUGGACAGCCAAGAAGUCAACCUCAACAAUUGAUAGCAAUUCAAGGCUUUUUAGGAGGCUUUUUCUCCAGCAUUAGCAAAUGAGAAUGGCCAAGAAAACUUGCAACUAGAGCCAAUUGGAUAAGCAUUUUCGUCGAGGAUUGCAAGCAAAGGUGCAUCAAAGGAUGAAGCUGUUGAAAUAUCUGAGGAGAACUAACUGGGAGUCCUAUUACUUUGUUCUUUCAAAACUUAGCCUUUGUGACAACCCUAAUUACAUGAAUUAUGAUUGUAUAACGAUUACUAAGUUUUCAUUGCAGUAAUGAAUAUUAUGCCUUU